GGAUAUCAUUAAAGACACCCCAAAGAGCUCCGUGGAUUUCAGACAUCAACGCCUUGACACCCACUGGAUAGCAGCAACUCAAGUGUUCCUUGAUAAUGAAGUCCAGGCACCCUGCUGGUGUGGUAACUCCCUUCUCUGCAUUGAUGGAGUAGUUUGAGAAACCUCAAAUGGCCAGGUGUCAGCUUCCCAUUCAGUGACACCACUGUGUAGCCCGCGUUGAGGCACUCCUUCCUUGGUAUACUGAUGUAUUUUUCACUUUGUUGGGGAGUUCUGAAGAGCUCUGUACAGUCCACCGAAAUGUCAUCAAGAUCUAAAUGAAAGUAUCAUGGUCACUUGAUGAGAGCUCAUUGGGGAUCUGGAUCAGGAGUAAAUGAGCCAUACGUACUCUGCUUCUGGAAAGCUCAACAGCCCUUUCCCAAGCAGUUAUGCAGACGAACAGAGGAGGGGACCUGGGAAGAAAAGAUGGUAAAAGACCACAGGACAAGCACAGGCAUCUUGGAGGAUGGUUGCAGGUAUGAACAAUAAGAGGUUGAAAUGUUUCCCACCACUCAGAAGUUCAGCUUCUAGCAGGGUUCCUGUUCUUCUGAAAAAGUCUUGGCCAUGAUCAGUGAUGCAAGAGCCGAAAGCCACUUUGUGACCACAAUGGAUGGAAAGAUCCCCCAUGUUUGUCAAACACCUGCAGCAGGAAAGACAAGCUUAGAAGCUGAGACCUUAACAGAUCCCCCUGGCAUAAUACUGGGCAACAAUGAAGAAAUCUUGGUGCUGGAGCCAAGAGGGCUUUGUGUGGACCAAG